AGCUCCAAGAAUACGCGGCGGAGGUGGCCCGGGUCGGCGUCUACGCCGUUCGGCGCGGGCCACGGGCCCGCUUCCAAGUGCGUCAGUGCGCCGGCCACCCACGCCGGGUCCUUCAAGUGUCGCUUCCACCGCACCAACUCCCAGGGCCACGGACGCCCUUCUUCGCCCCCUUCACCGGCCAUGGCCAACGCGGUGCCGCGGCACCCGGCCUCGCCGUCCUCGUCCUCCGGCACCGUCGCGACCCAGUGA
rnacentral:rRNA from 1 species